rnacentral:rRNA from 1 species
UACGAAGGGUGCAAGCGUUAAUCGGAAUUACUGGGCGUAAAGGGUGCGUAGGCGGUUGUUUAAGUCUGUUGUGAAAUCCCCGGGCUCAACCUGGGAAUGGCAAUGGAUACUGGACGGCUGGAGUGUGGCAGAGGAAGGUGGAAUUCCAGGUGUAGCGGUGAAAUGCGUAGAGAUCUGGAGGAACACCGAUGGCGAAGGCAGCCUUCUGGGCCAACACUGACGCUCAUGCACGAAAGCGUGGGGAGCAAACAGG